rnacentral:rRNA from 1 species
CUUGCUACUUGCUGACGACCGGCGCACGGGUGCGUAACGCGUAUACAAUCUGCCUUAUACAGAGGGAUAGCCUUUAGAAAUGAAGAUUAAUACCUCAUGGUCUAUUAAUAUAGCAUUAUAUAAAUAGUAAAGCUUCGGCGGUAUAAGAUGAGUAUGCGUCCUAUUAGUUAGUUGGUAAGGUAACGGCUUACCAAGACAACGAUAGGUAGGGGCCCUGAGAGGGGGAUCCCCCACACUGGUACUGAGACACGGACCAGACUCCUACGGGAGGCAGCAGUGAGGAAUAUUGGACAAUGGAGGUAACUCUGAUCCAGCCAUGCCGCGUGCAGGAAGACGGCCCUAUGGGUUGUAAACUGCUUUUAUAUAGGAAGAAACCUUUUCACGUGUGAGAAGCUGACGGUACUAUAAGAAUAAGGACCGGCUAACUCCGUGCCAGCAGCCGCGGUAAUACGGAGGGUCCGAGCGUUAUCCGGAAUCAUUGGG